rnacentral:rRNA from 1 species
GAUACGAGCAGCGGCCGCAUGGCCAGCUGCUGGAAAGAUUUUUUGGUCUGGGAUGGGCUCGCGGCCUAUCAGCUAGUUGGUGAGGUAACGGCUCACCAAGGCGUCGACGGGUAGCCGGCCUGAGAGGGUGACCGGCCACACUGGGACUGAGACACGGCCCAGACUCCUACGGGAGGCAGCAGUGGGGAAUAUUGCACAAUGGGCGGAAGCCUGAUGCAGCAACGCCGCGUGAGGGAUGACGGCCUUCGGGUUGUAAACCUCUUUUAGCAAGGAAGAAGCGAAAGUGACGGUACUUGCAAAAAAAGCGCCGGCUAACUACGUGCCAGCAGCCGCGGUAAUACGUAGGGCGCAAGCGUUAUCCGGAAUUAUUGGGCGUAAAGAGCUCGUAGGCGGUCUGUCGCGUCUGCUGUGAAAACCCGAGGCUCAACCUCGGGCCUGCAGUGGGUACGGGCAGACUAGAGUGCGGUAGGGGAGAUUGGAAUUCCUGGUGUAGCGGUGGAAUGCGCAGAUAUCAGGAGGAACACCGAUGGCGAAGGCAGAUCUCUGGGCCGUAACUGACGCUGAGGAGCGAAAGGGUGGGGAGCAAACAGGCUUAGAUACCCUGGUAGUCCACCCCGUAAACGUUGGGAACUAGUUGUGGGGUCCAUUCCACGGAUUCCGUGACGCAGCUAACGCAUUAAGUUCCCCGCCUGGGGAGUACGGCCGCAAGGCUAAAACUCAAAGGAAUUGACGGGGACCCGCACAAGCGGCGGAGCAUGCGGAUUAAUUCGAUGCAACGCGAAGAACCUUACCAAGGCUUGACAUACACGAGAACGCCGUAGAAAUACGGAACUCUUUGGACACUCGUGAACAGGUGGUGCAUGGUUGUCGUCAGCUCGUGUCGUGAGAUGUUGGGUUAAGUCCCGCAACGAGCGCAACCCUCGUUCUAUGUUGCCAGCACGUAAUGGUGGGAACUCAUGGGAUACUGCCGGGGUCAACUCGGAGGAAGGUGGGGAUGACGUCAAAUCAUCAUGCCCCUUAUGUCUUGGGCUUCACGCAUGCUACAAUGGCCGGUACAAAGGGCUGCAAUACCGUGAGGUGGAGCGAAUCCCAAAAAGCCGGUCCCAGUUCGGAUUGAGGUCUGCAACUCGACCU